UCAGGAUGAACGCUAGCGUACAGGCUUAACACAUGCAAGUCGAGGGGCAUCAUGGAGUUGCUGCAAACUCUGAUGGCGACCGGCGCACGGGUGAGUAACGCGUAUCCAACUCCCUAUAGUAGAGGAUAGCCCGGCGAAAGUCGGAUUAAUACUCUAUGUUUUCCGUUGCAGACAUCUAAGAUGGAACAAAGGCUUGCCGCUAUAGGAUGGGGAUGCGUCUGAUUAGGUAGUCGGCGGGGUAACGGCCCACCGAGCCAUCGAUCAGUAGGGGUUCUGAGAGGAAGGUCCCCCACAUUGGAACUGAGACACGGUCCAAACUCCUACGGGAGGCAGCAGUGAGGAAUAUUGGUCAAUGGGCGAGAGCCUGAACCAGCCAAGUAGCGUGCAGGACGACGGCCCUAUGGGUUGUAAACUGCUUUUAUGCGGAGAUAAAGUUCACUACGUGUAGUGUUUUGUAGGUACCGCAUGAAUAAGGACCGGCUAAUUCCGUGCCAGCCGCCGC
rnacentral:rRNA from 1 species